CCUACGGGAGGCAGCAGUGAGGAAUAUUGGUCAAUGGGCGAGAGCCUGAACCAGCCAAGUCGCGUGAGGGAGUACUGCCCUAUGGGUUGUAAACCCCUUUUGUCGGGGAGCAAAAGCCGGACGUGUCCGGCUGUGAGAGUACCCGAUGAAAAAGCAUCGGCUAACUCCGUGCUAGCAGCCGCGGGAAUACGGAGGAUGCGGGCGUUAUCCGGAUGUAUUGGGGUAAAUGGGUGCUCAGGGGGAUUUUGAAGUCAGCGGGAAAAUCGUGGGGCUAAACCCCAUCCAGCCGGUGAAAAUGGGGGGCUGGAGUGUGCGAGAGGUAUGCGGAAUGCGUGGUGUAGCGGUGAAAUGCAUAGAUAUCACGCAGAACCCCGGUGGCGAAGGCAGCAUACUGGUGCACAACUGACGCUCAGGCACGAAAGCGUGGGUAUCGAACAGGAUUAGAUACCCGGGUAGUC
rnacentral:rRNA from 1 species